AUACGGAGGAUCCGAGCGUUAUCCGGAUUUAUUGGGUUUAAAGGGAGCGUAGGUGGACAGUUAAGUCAGUUGUGAAAGUUUGCGGCUCAACCGUAAAAUUGCAGUUGAUACUGGCUGUCUUGAGUACAGUAGAGGUGGGCGGAAUUCGUGGUGUAGCGGUGAAAUGCUUAGAUAUCACGAAGAACUCCGAUUGCGAAGGCAGCUCACUGGACUGCAACUGACACUGAUGCUCGAAAGUGUGGGUAUCAAACAGGAUUAGAUACCCUGGUAGUCCACACAGUAAACGAUGAAUACUCGCUGUUUGCGAUAUACAGUAAGCGGCCAAGCGAAAGCAUUAAGUAUUCCACCUGGGGAGUACGCCGGCAACGGUGAAACUCAAAUGAAUUGACGGG
rnacentral:rRNA from 1 species